rnacentral:misc_RNA from 1 species
AACUUUUAACAAUGGAUCACUUGGUUCUGGCAUCGAUGAAGAACGCAGCGAAAUGCGAUAAGUAAUGUGAAUUGCAGAAUUCCGUGAAUCAUCGAAUCUUUGAACGCAUAUUGCGCCCCCUGGUAUUCCGGAGGGCAUGCCUGUCCGAGCGUCAUUAUCACACCUCAAGCUUCAAGCUUGUUUUGAGCCAAUCUUUUGUUCUUUUGAUGAACAGGCUUGAAAUGCAAGUGGCGAUAUCCAGUUUGGUGCCCGGCAUUAUAGGGCUCUGUCACAUGCUUUAGUGGCCCAGAUUGAUAUAUAUUCAGCCUUUUUAUUAAUCAUAUUUUAAAAGAGAUUGACCUCGGAUCAGGCAAGAGUACCCGCUGAACUUAAGCAUAUCAAUAAGCGGAGGCU